UCCACCUCCCCUCCCCCACCCCCUUUCCCCCUCCCAUCCCCUCCACCUGUCCUCCACCUCCCCUCCACCUGUCCUGAGGUAUUAAAUGCAGUGCAAAGGACAGUCAGCGUCAGACGCACCAUAGAGAGAGACCUCGCAAGGCUAGCGCAAGAUGAACAUCCAACGAGCAACACUGAUAUUUGCAAUCUUCGCCUUAAUAGUCGGCGUUGCAAUGGCCGUACCCUUCGGCUGGUAUCGGAAACCAUUCGGCUUCGUCAGUAGAUUCGAUCGAAGGAGAUCACUGGGCAUCUGGAGUCCCCACAUCGACGACCGUUACUGGCAUGGAUUCGACAUCGAUGGUUAUACAAGGAAUGGAUGAGAAUUAAGUGAGUUUGGACCAAGAUUGGCUGAUAUGCCUCGCUUCGCUAAACCCUUUAGAUGUAAUUUUGCUAUUACUGUUUUCAUUAUUGUGUUAUUGCAGACUAAGAUAGGGUAACCUGCCCUAUCGUUAGAUAAAAUAUGCAAAUUUUAUCUACAUUUGUGGCUAGCUUUAAUUCUAACUUAAUUUCACUUAUAUGUGAAAAUGCACAUCCUGAAUGUAAACCAAUUAUGAAAUUCUCAAAGGUAUUGGGGAUUUCAUAGUUAUUCAUACCUUUUUCAUAUCAAUUUCAUACCUAUUCAUGUACUGUAUGAAUGUGAUCAAUGGCAUUAUUUUGUAUUACUUUUAUAGUGACAUGUGAUACUCUGUGAGUGAUAAUCUUGAAAUAAAUAAAUCUUAAAAAAAACAUG